rnacentral:rRNA from 1 species
AUUGAACGCUGGCGGCAGGCCUAACACAUGCAAGUCGAGCGGAGCGGCGGACGGGUGAGUAAUGCCUAGGAAUCUGCCUGGUAGUGGGGGAUAACGUCCGGAAACAGGCGCUAAUACCGCAUACUAUCAGAUGAGCCUAGGUCGGAUUAGCUAGUUGGUGGGGUAACGGCCUAAAAAGGCGACGAUCCGUAACGGGUCUGAGAGGAUGAUCAGUCACACUGGAACUGGGACACGGUCCAGACUCCUACGGGAGGCAGCAGGGGGGAAUAGUGGACAAUGGGCGCAAGCCUGAUCCAGCCAUGCCGGGUGUUUGAAGAAGGUCUUCGGAUUGUAAAGCACUUUAAGUUGGGAGGCGUUACCAACAGAAUAAGCACCGGCUAACUUCGUGCCAGCAGCCGCGGUAAUAC